ACCACACCCACCCGGGCCUGCAAGGGGAGGAAGCUGACUUAAGAAGGAACCCAACGCAGAGGAAAGCAAAAUGGAGACAUGGAGGGAGACGCCAAGUUCCAGUGACAUUAAGCCCCUGAAUCCCACCAUGGCUGAACUUGCAUUACUGAAGCCCUCCUGAGUUGAAUUUCUGCCUCUUGCAAAUGAAACAGGCCUGAUGAAUACCCACAUAGUUCAAUUUCAAUAUACGAAGUUCUUCAGAGGACGGUCCCUGAGUUACUGAAGCCACUUCACCUGUUUGGGCAGAGAGCUGGGAGUGCCCAGAGCUGACACCCUCCAGGUGACCCACAGGUAACGGCUGACCCACGCUGGAGUGUAGGAGCCUUGCUUCAAGACCACACAGACUUUGAGGUGGGCUGAUUGUGGAGGCUAAAGCAAUUCUACCUUGCCGGCUUAUCCACCAUGUGGACUUCUAAUUAAUCUCAGUUGCCGGAAUGCCUCUAAGAUUUCUACGUUAUCUACUGUGAAGAGCAAGUAAUUACUGCAAAUCCUGCCCUUGGGUCAAAACAACCUUGAUGACAUAUUCCUUCUGAAGCACAUAGACUCUUUGCCUAGCUGCCUGCCCUGCAGACUUCAGUCUCCAGCAUCAGACACAGAGACCCAGCGUUAUGGAGACUGUCUAACCAGAUCUCACAAUUGUGGAAGAUCCCAACUCCUACAAAAAUCUCUUAAAAACCACGUGUGGCUGGGCACAGUGGCUCAUGUAUGUAAUUCCAGCACUUUGGGAGGCCGAGCCAGGUGCUGUGGCUCACGCCUAUAAUCUCAGCACUUUGGAAGGCUGAGGCGGGCAGAUCACCUGAGGUCAGGAGUUCGAGACCAGCCUGGUCAACAUGGUGAAACCCUGUCUCUACUAAAAAUACAAAAAUUGGCGUGGUGGCAUGCGCUUGUAAUUCCAGCUACUCAGGAGGCUGAGGCAGGAGAAUCACUUGAACCCAGGAGGUGGAGGUUGCAGUGAACUGAGAUCGCACCAUUGCACUCCAGCCUAGGCAACAGAGCAAGACUCCAUCUCAAAAAAUAAAUAAAUAAAUAAAUAAAUAAAAAUAAUUAUGUUCAUACAUAACUUUAAAAAUAAAAGAUCCAAACCAGGAAAAAUAAAUAUAAGUGGUAAAACUACAAAGAAAAGCAACUAAAUUACCAGAAAAGCAAGGCUGUGGUUACGUCUGGGGGAAAGAAGGAGGCCAAGGCUGAGAGUCUGCAUGUUCCAUGAUUCUGGGCGCUGGCAGUGAUUAAUUUCAUGACCUGGGUGGUAGGUACCUAGGUGUUCAGCUUACUAUUACUUGACAAACUAUACAUAAUGGUUUUUAUGCUUUCCUCUAUGCUUAUUUCGUGAGAAAAUAUAAAUGUAAAAAAAAGCUGACAAAAGCAAGUCUCAGCACAUUGUUGUUUUAAAUGUAAUAGAUUAGUAUACAAUUUAUUUACAAGAUGAACAGUACACAACAUAAUAAGAUAUAAAGGAACAUAAAUUGAACUAGAAUGAUAUACCCCAAGUUCACAAUAGUGGUUGCUUCUGGAGAGUGAGAAAGUGGGGAUUAAUGUAUAAUUAUAUGCCAGGUGCAGUAGCUCACACCUGUAAUCCCAGCACUUUGGGAGGCCAAGACAGGAGGAUCGCUUUGAGAUCCAGCCUGGUCAACAUACUGAGACUGCCAUCUCUACAGAAAAUGUAAAAAAUUAGCUGGGUGUGGUGGCAUGCACUUGUAGUCCCAGCUACUCGAGAAGUUGAGGUAAAAGGAUCACUUGAGCCUGGGAGGUUAAGGAUACAGUGAACUGAGAUCACAUCACCGUGCUCUAGCCUGGGCGACAGAGACAGACCUUGUCUCAAAUAAAUACAUAAAUUAAAUAUUUUUUAAAAGGCCAGGCCUGGUGGCUCACGCCUGUAAUUCCCAGCACUUUGGGAGACCGAGGUGGGCAGAUCACGAGGUCAAUAGAUCGAGACAAUCCUGGCCAACAUGGUGAAACCCCGUCUCUACUAAAGAUACAAAAAUUAGCUGGGCAUGGUGGCUUACACCUGUAGUCCCAGCUAUUCAGGAGGCUGAGGCAGAAGAAUCACUUGAACCUGGGAGGCAGAGGUUGCAGUGAGCCGAGAUCAUGCCACUGCACUCCAGCCUGGGUGACAGAGUGAGAUUCUGUCUCAAAAAAAGAAAAAAAGAGGCCAGGUGCGGUGGCUCAUGCCUGUAAUCCCAGCACUUUGGGAGGCCGAGGCGGGCGGAUCACGCGGUCAGGAGAUCGAGACCAUCCUGGCUGACAUGGCGAAACCCCAUCUCUACU